UCGGGGAGGAGCAAAUAUCCUUUGAUCCGGAGAUUUCUGAAUGGGGAAACCUACUUGAGCAAACCUCAAGUAUCCUUAAGCCAAUACAUAACUUAAGGAAGGGAACCCGGUGAACUGAAACAUCUAAGUAGCCGGAGGAAGAGAAAACAACAUGUGAUUCUGUGAGUAGCGGCGAGCGAAAACGGAAGAGCCCAAACCAGCGUGCGUGCAUGCUGGGGUUCGGACCGCGGAAUUGAUUCAACGAGUUUAGCAGAACGGUUUUGGGAAAGCCGGCCAGAGAGGGUGAAAGCCCCGUAAGCGAAAGACGAGUUGACAUGGCGGGAUCCAGAGUACCACGAGACACGUGGAACCUUGUGGGAAGAUGCGGGGACCACCCCGUAAGGCUAAAUACUACUUAGUGACCGAUAGCGCAUAGUACUGUGAAGGAAAGGUGAAAAGGACCCCGGGAGGGGAGUGAAAAAGAACCUGAAACCAUAUGUUUACAAGCUGUGGAAGAGCUUUAUAUGCUCAACCGCGUACUUUUUGUAGAACGGUCCGGCGAGUUACGCUGGCUGGCGAGGUUAAGGACUGAAGGUCCGGAGCCGAAGGGAAACCAAGUCUGAAUAGGGCGCAUAGUCAGUCGGAGUAGACCCGAAACCGGGUGAUCUAUCCAUGUCCAGGUUGAAGUUGCCGUAAAAGGCAAUGGAGGACCGAACCCACAUCCGUUGAAAAGGGUGGGGAUGAGGUGUGGAUAGGGGAGAAAUUCCAAUCGAACCCGGAGAUAGCUGGUUCUCCUCGAAAUAGCUUUAGGGCUAGCCUCAUACGAGUCUUGCGGAGGUAGAGCACUGAAUUCCUAAGGGGGCGUCAAAGCUUACUAAGGGAUAUCAAACUCCGAAUGCCGUGUAGAUGAUGUAUGGGAGUCAGACGAUCCGAGAUAAGUUGGGUGGUCAAAAGGGAAAGAGCCCAGACCAACAGCUAAGGCCCCAAAAUGUGUGUUAAGUGGAAAAGGAUGUGGGAUUUCGAAGACAACUAGGAUGUUGGCUCAGAAGCAGCCAUUCAUUCAAAGAGUGCGUAAUAGCUCACUAGUCGAGAGGUCCUGCGCCGAAAAUGUCCGGGGCUAAAACACACUGCCGAAGCUUUGGAAUUGAGAAUUCAAUUGGUAGAGGAGCAUUCUUAAAGGGACGAAGCAGUACCGUAAGGAGCUGUGGACUUUUAAGAAGAGAGAAUGCCGGAAUGAGUAGCGAGAGGAAGGUGGGAAUCCUUCCGGCCGAAUAUCUAAGGUUUCCAGAGUAAAGCUGAUCUGCUCUGGGUAAGUCGGGGCCUAAGGCGAGGUCGAAAGACGUAGUCGAUGGAUAACAGGUUGAAAUUCCUGUACUAUCCUGUAACAGAACUGUGGGGACACAGGCAGAGAGCGUGAGCCGGGAAUGGAAAGACCGGUACAAGCGAGGUAGGAGAAGAGUUGGCAAAUCCGCUCUUUAAUCUGAAGACGUGAUGUGGACUGAAAAUAAGUAGGGAAGCACGUGAGCUGACUGUCAAGAAAAGCCGCUAUUGUUUGCAGGAUACCCGUACCGUAAACCGACACAGGUGGAUGAGGAGAGAAUCCUAAGGCCGACGGGAGAAGCAUUGUUAAGGAACUCGGCAAAAUGACUCCGUAACUUCGGGAGAAGGAGUGCCAGUAAGAUGGCCGCAGAGAAUUGGCCCAAGCAACUGUUUAGCAAAAACACAGGUCUAUGCAAAACCGAAAGGUGAGGUAUAUGCUGACGCCUGCCCGGUGCUGGAAGGUUAAGGGGAGAGGUUAGCGCAAGCGAAGCUUUGAACUUAAGCCCCAGUAAACGGCGGCCGUAACUAUAACGGUCCUAAGGUAGCGAAAUUCCUUGUCGGGUAAGUUCCGACCCGCACGAAAGGCGUAAUGAUUUGGGCACUGUCUCAACAAUGCACCCGGUGAAAUUGAAAUACCAGUGAAGAUGCUGGUUACCUGCGCCAGGACGGAAAGACCCCAUGGAGCUUUACUCCAGCUUGAUACUGGGAUUCGGUAUUGCAUGUACAGGAUAGGUGGGAGGCUAGGAAAUGGUAACGCCAGUUGCCAUGGAGCCGCUGUUGGGAUACCACCCUUGCAGUACUGGGUUUCUAACCAGCAGCCGUGAUCCGGCUGGGGGACAAUGUCAGGUGGGGAGUUUGACUGGGGCGGUCGCCUCCGAAAGGG
rnacentral:rRNA from 1 species